CCUACGGGCGGCUGCAGUGGGGAAUAUUGGACAAUGGGGGCAACCCUGAUCCAGCCAUGCCGCGUGUGUGAAGAAGGCCCUCGGGUUGUAAAGCACUUUCAGUGAGGAAGAACGCCUGGUGGUUAAUACCCAUCAGGAAAGACAUCAUUCACAGAAGAAGCACCGGCUAACUCCGUGCCAGCAGCCGCGGUAAUACGGAGGGUGCGAGCGUUAAUCGGAAUUACUGGGCGUAAAGCGCGCGUAGGUGGCUUGAUAAGCCGGUUGUGAAAGCCCCGGGCUCAACCUGGGAACGGCAUCCGGAACUGUCAAGCUAGAGUGCAGGAGAGGAAGGUAGAAUUCCCGGUGUAGCGGUGAAAUGCGUAGAGAUCGGGAGGAAUACCAGUGGCGAAGGCGGCCUUCUGGACUGACACUGACACUGAGGUGCGAAAGCGUGGGUAGCAAACAGGAUUAGAUACCCGGGUAGUC
rnacentral:rRNA from 1 species